CGGGCAGCUCCUGAGGAGAGAGGGACAUUGGGGGAGGGGAGGGGGGGCAGUCAUCGUCACAAGGCGGUGUAUGCUUAAGUUGCAGUCCUCAUUGACAUACAGUGACAGACAACUGAAAAUGUCAUCCUAUUUGGCUCAGGAGGUUCACCUUGCUAGAAGACACGAAGAGAUACUGUCUCAGAGAUCAGUGUUGCUACGGCAGAUGGAGACUUAUCUAGGAGACAAAAAGACUAAAAAGACAUGGCAAACUCAAGCAGCUGAUGCAGCUCGUAAAAGGAAUGCAGCACUUUUAAAUCUCGGAGAAAGUGAGCCAGAGCCUAUUCUAGUUCGCCUGUCAACAGGAAUGGCAGCGGACGGCUCCAUCCCCACCGGGCUUUGUGCCCCCGAAGCGCUGCCUGCCUGCGAGGCAUGGCAACGUCGCGGGAGAGUCCAGGUCCUGCCGCUGGACUUCUCUGGUCCAGGAGCCAGUCGAGAGUCAGCGGGGUCCACAUCUUACCCAAAGCCCCCCGGCCACCAAGGCAAGCAAGAAAAUGAUGAAGGGGCGGCUGCUGUUCUCCUGCCUCGCUGUCGAUGGAGCGAUGCGGUAUUUCAUUUCUGAAAACCAAGCCCAAGAGAUGUCCCUUCUUCCUGGUUUGAAGUGGUGUACUUCUUCGUUUUGAAAGAGUGGGAGCUUUUUAAUUUUUUCUGGUUUUGUUGUGUGUGUUUUUUUUUUUUUUUCUUUUCCCCCUUAUUUUCUAUUUAGGAGAAAAGGUGGGAGGAAGUAGAGAAGGAGAAUAUAAUGGGGGGAUGGCCUUGUUCUCACUUUCCUACUGAAAACAUUUCAGAAAAAGGAGCAAAAAGCAGUGAAAAUGGGUAGAAGCCCACUUCAGUUUUGCGUUCCCAUUCCUUCCCUUUUUUGCUUGAAAGAAGGAUGGCCAAAAAAAAUAAGUGGGACAAACCCCACGUGUUUUGAAUUAUUCUCUUCUUAAUGAGUUAGAAAAACAUCUUGUUUUCAAAAGUACAUGCUUUUUCCAUGAAAAAAAUCAAAUAGAGGAAGAACCUUUCCAAAGCCAAUAACAGUUGCCAUUCCCAGUCAUUUUGCAACUCCCCACUCAGUGUUUUGCCAUUUUUCUGGCUAUGCCACGGCUCAUAUUGUUUGAUGUUUGCAUUUAUCUUUGCUCGAAGGACAUAAUUUUCGUAGACGUCCUUGUUCUCUGCUGAGCAGGACUCUGCGGCAGUCUGCAAGGUACCGUGGGAGCAGCGGACGGUAGCAUGUCACCUCCUUCCAUCAGGACAAACCAGAGCCCCUCAACGCUCUCCUGUCCAGCUGAAAGCCAUCGACAGGCCCCGAGAUCAGCUGCUUUCGGAGCCCCCUCUCUGCCGAAAGCGCUCCUAAACGGUGCGGCCUUUGUUCCCCCCAGCUGUCGCAUCCUCCGGGAUCGGCAACAAGUCCUCGCUUUACAGACCCCGUCUUGUCAGUCCCCAAGCUGAUCUGACCACCUGGUUUGUUUUUGAAGCGAGCGCUCGAGUCAUAACAUUUCUGUUUAUUUCAACAACUGUAUUCCUUGCAUAGGAAAUGAGCCAAGAUGGUCUAAGGCGGGGAGAGCGAAGCAUGUCGGGGUUGUAAUUGCUUUUGCUCUCCCAAUAUCAAAUUUUACAGUAUAAUCAAAAUCUUAUUUUUGUACUACUGGACUCUGUUAUUGACUUAAUCUUCUUAAGUGCUCCUAUUAUUCCAGUGAUUUCAUCGUUGCAUGUUGAUUUUAAUCUUUUGAUCUCCAUAUUAGCUACUGCCUGCAACUAAUUUGUUGCUCAGUGUUUUUCUUUGUUUUGACCUGUGAGGCAUUUUCCUCAUGGCACACAACUCUGCUGGCAGAUUGCAUAUAAUCUCUGCACUUUUUUUCUCCCAUAUUUUGCAUAGUUACAACAAAUGCAGAUUUACAACUUGAAACAGAAUAUGUAUCUUCUGGGGAGGCUGGGCAAAAUAUCACUUAGCGCCUUUAGCUCGGGAGCCCGAAUGCGCUCGAACGGAGGAAAUGCCGCCGAAUGCAGCUCACCGGAGAGAGGUGUCGCUCAGGCUCCUGAGCCAAACGAGUUCAGAAUUGUUGGCAACCGCAGCGUUUGUAACUUAAAUUACACGCAGUCAGGUACCAAACAGCUUCUGGAGGCACGGCUAGGGCGAAGAGGAGGAAGGCUGGUUUUUGUGAAUGGCUUAGGGGACUCCUAGCUGGCCUCAGCUUGGCAUUUGGGGGUUCUGCUGAGUCCCGACACCACGGAGCAGUUUUUUCAACAAAAACUGGUGGCAGUGGUGCUGGUGCAGAGUCUUGAACUUCACAAAGUGCAGAGGGUGAGAUACGGCUCAGCUGUGUUUCGGUUGCCCGUUAUACCAGCGCUUUUCCCCUUGGUAGCUGCUGGUUUAACCUGUGCUGGUUUACUGGGGCUUUGUUUGCUUUAGCUUCUUCUUUUAAAGCUUCGAGGAGUAAUUUUUGCCUUAGGUUUGCCGUGACUUUUUUUUUUAAAAGAACACAGACUGAACAUUGACAAAAUCAUCUUUGCUUUGCUGCAUGCCUAUUUAUGCUUCUGAAACCAAAUUGUCUUCUAAUAUUUUUGACGUUUUGGUCACCAGAGAGGCAGAAAAGCAAUUUCUAAGAUGCCUAUGGGCCAGGAGACAUGCUUUACAGCAGAGGGGAAAGAAUCUGUUAGUUGCUGAGAUAUAAAACAAAUUGGAUGAACAGCUGCUGACACUUGUCAGUCAAAUAGUUGAUAGCAUUUUCAGUCUCCAUGCCACAUGCUUUAAGUAAGUCUGUCAAAAAAAGGAUAUUUUCGCUGGACUUCCCUGUAAAUAUGAGAGAAGUUUUGGCCUGAUCUAUCAUUUAAAAUUUUGCUGGCAGAGGAAUGAAAUUUUCCUCUUUCCCCAAACUGAUUGACAUAACUGUACUGGCAGAUCCUUCAUCUAGGUGCAGUUGUACUGGCAGGAAGUCCUUUGACUGUUGGAGCUCAUUCCACGGCAGCAGCGGGUUGAAGUGAAACCAGCAGCAGACCUUUCCGUCUCCUCGGCAGGGUUUGCCAGAGUGCUCCCAGCCAUCAGCAAACCCUUUUAGAAGCUGCCCUAGGUGUAGCUUUGCCCUACACGAGCCUGAGCCCCAUCCAAAGGAUGUUACGUGGCCGAGGAGGCUUUAAACCCAGAUUGUGUUGUUCAGACAGCACCAAACCAUUUGGGGUGAUUCCUGCAGGAUUUAACCAAGAGGGCACUCGGUGCUCCCGGUGCCGCCGUGCAGCACCCACACGGGACAGGGUCAGGCUGCCAGCACCACGUCACCAUCGGCAGGGGGGCUCGGGGUGCACCAGGCUCCUUCUCUUGCCUUCAUGCUGCAGGACUGGGAGGUUAAAUCCUGCCUUGCAGCAUUGCUCGUACGUGAGUUCUUCACACCAAAAUUUGUAACUUGACGCUCAUUUGGGUCCAAACUCCCUAAAAGAAACGAUCUGCCUAAUGCUUCCUCUCUUAGGACAUGCGGUCAGGCCUGGCAUAGCCUCAGGGCUCUUACGGAGUCCCUGAGCUGCUUUGCUGGGGUCUGAGGCCACGUGAAAAGCUGUCACAGGCUGCAGGGGCGCUGCUGCUGACGGGGAAGCUCCGAGGAGGAGCGUGGCCACCACCACCGCUGCAGGGCGGCACCUCUGCGUGCUGGUGGUGCGCAGCCUGGGAUCAGCUCCCGAAGGCUGCGCCCACACGGCUUCAUUCAAAAAAACUGAGCAGGGCUCACUAUUUUGAAAGGUGGCAGGUGGAAGUGGGCUGUGUUUUCACCCAAUAAAUAUUUCAUGUAAAAAAAAAAGGGGGAGCCUGUUCCAGAGCGGAGUCAAGCUGUUUCUCUAGCUCUGCUCUGCCUGACGGGGAGCGGAGCUACAAAUUUGGUCUUCCCUGGAGCUUUUUGCUCCCAGCCUGGUGCCUGCCCCAGCUGAGGCUUUCCCGGUGCCUCCUCUUGGAGGUGUUGCAGGUUGUAUCAGUGUCUGGGGCAGGAGAGGGAGAGGAAGACAAGGAUGUGAGCAUGCAUACGCAUAGCUCAGGAGCCUGGCUUCUGGACGUGGCUGCAGGCUCCAAGCACAGAGAUGUCGGGAUACAGGAAUUUUUUUAUAUAUGUCCCACUGGCAGGCCUGCAGAAGCACCUGCCCUGGCCUUGGAGGACGUAGGUCUGACUUAACCAUUCAGUUGCUGCCUCCAUUCCUCUGGGGCCCUAGGGUGGGGAAGAGCUGUGUCGGUGGCCACAUUUCUGCUGAGGUCCCCAGAGGCUCCUCUCCCUGUCAGUGCUUCUGCCUACCAGCACCGUAGGGUGAGACAAGAACCAAAAGUGAUCUGCAGGGUUACAGUAAGGGUUCAUAGCUUGUCUGUGCCCGUGCAUCAAGUGGCUUACAAAAUGUAAAGGGUGCUAAAUGUGCCCACCACCCGCCCCUAGAGCAGAACCUGCUGAUGCCCCCGUCCCCGGGGUGGGCACGGCUCACCACGGGUACAUGGCAGGGCUGCAGGGCACCUCCAGAGCCGGGGGGUGAACUGCCAGUGAGAGGAGGGUCCCCAAAUCCGGCACUGCAGAUGAAUGAGCUCCCAGCUCCGUAGCCAUCCCGGGACCCAGCACCCCACCCGGGCUGUUCCCAGAGCCCCCCUUCCUUCCAUUCCUCCCUUGGCUUCUGUGGGAGAAGACAAAAUAAAAACUGAAGCCUUUCUUGCGGAAGGCAAGUGUCGGGUAAGGCUAAUUGCCGUGUAAUAACGGGGGCUGUACCGGAGCAGACCAUCGAUUAGCCGCCCAAGGACAGCUGACAGGGCGCAGUGCCCAGAUGAUGGUGGAAACGAGCGGGGUGGUGGCAGCCCACGUGCCCUUGUACCUGGGGAAUAUAUGGUCUGGGCCCAGCCUGAC